rnacentral:rRNA from 1 species
GACGAACGCUGGCGGCGUGCUUAACACAUGCAAGUCGAACGGAAAGGCCCUGCUUUUGUGGCGUGCUCGAGUGGCGAACGGGUGAGUAACACGUGAGUAACCUGCCCUUGUCUUUGGGAUAACUUCAGGAAACUGGGGCUCAUACCGGAUAGGAGCUCCUGCUGCAUGGUGGGGGUUGGAAAGUUUCGGCGGUUGGGGAUGGACUCGCGGGUUAUCAGCUUGUUGGUGGGGUAGUGGCUUACCAAGGCUUUGACGGGUAGCCGGCCUGAGAGGGUGGCCGGCGACAUGGGGCCUGAGGUAGGGCGCAGUCUGCAACGGGAGGCAGCAGGGGGGAAUAUUGCAGAAUGGGCGGAAGCCUGAUGCAGCAGCGCCGGGUGCGGGAAGACGGCCUACGGGUUGUAAACCGCUGUCGCCUGUGACGAAGCGUGAGUGACGGUAAUGGGUAAAGAAGCAACGGCUAACUACGUG